rnacentral:rRNA from 1 species
AGCGAACGCUGGCGGCAGGCUUAACACAUGCAAGUCGAACGCCCCGCAAGGGGAGUGGCAGACGGGUGAGUAACACGUGGGAACGUACCCUUUGGUUCGGAAUAACUUGGGGAAACUCAAGCUAAUACCGGAUAAGCCCGUAUGGUGAAAGGUUUACUGCCGAAGGAUCGGCCCGCGCCUGAUUAGCUAGUUGGUGAGGUAACGGCUAACCAAGGCGACGAUCAGUAGCUGGUCUGAGAGGAUGAUCAGCCACGCUGGGACUGAGACACGGCCCAGACUCCUACGGGAGGCAGCAGUGGGGAAUAUUGGACAAUGGGGGCAACCCUGAUCCAGCCAUGCCGCGUGAGUGAUGAAGGCCUUAGGGUUGUAAAGCUCUUUUACUCGGUACGAUAAUGACUGUACCGGGAGAAUAAGCCCCGGCUAACUUCGUGCCAGCCGCCGCCGUAA